rnacentral:rRNA from 1 species
UGCGUAGGCGGAUUAAUAAGUCAGUGGUGAAAUCUUUCGGCUCAACCGAGAAACUGCCAUUGAUACUGUUGAUCUUGAGUUCGGUUGAGGUAGGCGGAAUGUGUAAUGUAGCGGUGAAAUGCUUAGAUAUUACACAGAACACCAAUUGCGUAGGCAGCUUACUAGACCGACACUGACGCUGAGGCACGAAAGCGUGGGGAGCGAACAGGAUUAGAUACCCUGGUAGUCC